rnacentral:rRNA from 1 species
AGUGAACGCUGGCGGCAGGCCUAAUACAUGCAAGUCGAACGGCAGCACAGCAGAGCUUGCUCUGUGGGUGGCGAGUGGCGGACGGGUGAGGAAUACGUGGGAAUCUGCCCAGUCGUGGGGGAUAACGUAGGGAAACUUACGCUAAUACCGCAUGCGCCCUUCGGGGAAAGCCGGGGACCUUCGGGCCUGGCGCGAUUGGAUGAGCCCACGUCGGAUUAGCUAGUUGGCGGGGUAAAGGCCCACCAAGGCGACGAUCCGUAGCUGGUCUGAGAGGAUGAUCAGCCACACUGGAACUGAGACACGGUCCAGACUCCUACGGGAGGCAGCAGUAGGGAAUAUUGGACAAUGGGCGCAAGCCUGAUCCAGCCAUGCCUCGUGAGUGAAGAAGGCCCUCGGGUUGUAAAGCUCUUUUGUCCGGAAAGAAAGCGCCGGGUUAAUACCCUGGUGUCCUGACGGUACCGGAAGAAUAAGCACCGGCUAACUUCGUGCCAGCAGCCGCGGUAAU